UGGGGGAUAUUGCACAAUGGGCGAAAGCCUGAUGCAGCGACGCCGCGUGGGGGAUGAAGGCUUUCGGGUUGUAAACCUCUUUCGCUAUCGAACAAGGCCCGCUUAGGGUGGGUUGAGGGUAGGUGGAGAAGAAGCGCCGGCUAACUACGUGCCAGCAGCCGCGGUAAUACGUAGGGCGCGAGCGUUGUCCGGAAUUAUUGGGCGUAAAGGGCUUGUAGGCGGCUUGUUGCGCCUGCUGUGAAAACGCGGGGCUUAACUUCGCGCGUGCAGUGGGUACGGGCAGGCUUGAGUGUGGUAGGGGUCACUGGAAUUCCAGGUGUAGCGGUGGAAUGCGCAGAUAUCUGGAGGAACACCGAUGGCGAAGGCAGGUCACUGGGCCAUUACUGACGCUGAGGAGCGAAAGCAUGGGUAGCGAACAGG
rnacentral:rRNA from 1 species